AAAUGAUUGCAUUCUAUUUCGAUGUAAAUUACUGCUUAUUUUAUUGCUAUCUACUAUAUCCGUGUACUUUUUAAAAUCUUUGUUUUUUAUUUUUGCGCAAUUGACACCUAGUCAAAUUCCUCGUACGUGUGAACCUACCUGGCAAUAAACCCGUUUCUGAUUCUGGUUCAAAAACAUUGUCUAUGUAUGCCAAUGAGGCAGUUUGAAUGUAAUCGUUAGGGCUGCAGGUUGAUGUAUAGAUGGAUGGUGUUGGAAGAGAUCUUGGCCUGGGCCAGUUAAAGAGUCCGGACCUCCUUCUCAACACUCAUAACUUUUUAACUUAUUUUGUAGCAGUAAAAGUCUAAUAGGUUCAGAGCAAGUCGCUGGAGGCAGACUGAGUACGAUGCAAAUAACUUUAUUUCGUCAAAGACAGAAAACAAAGUCUGAGCAGACCCCGGGAUCCUACUGCUAAACAAACGUUGUAUUAGCAUUUGUAUAGCUAAAGCCUCCAUGUUUCUUAUUGGUUGACCUACAGUAGGUGAAGGACGAUAAACCAACUCCCCUAUUCUUUGUUGUAACUCUUUUUCGCACAUGUUUCCGUGCACGUGUCCAUGGCCGUGUUCCCUGCUCUACAUUGACCGACUCUUCACCUGGUUAGUUUUCUAGCAGGUGAGAGGAGAGUUUUUACUUUUGUCCAUUUUCCCCAUUGUAACUUCGUACCCGAUUAACUUCAGAGAAUGAGAAGAAUAGUUGACCGGAACCUUCUAAAAGGUGGCCUUUUCGUUUAACCUUGACACUCUUAAUUCCACUGUUUGUGAGGCCUAGUUCGCACAAUAUGCUCUUAGCAUCAAUUACCAUAAUGAUCCCAUUUUGAGUCCUUUACUACUACAUUGCAUAACAUUAUAUUCCAUGCAACAUCUCCUACUACAACAAUGGAAGCUGGAGACCAGGUGCAGUGGAUGAACUCACCCGCUGCAGAGUGACGGAGUACUGCUCCCACACCAUCUCCUCCAUCCCCGAGCUCUGCAGGGAAUACACACAGCACAGGGUUAGCCGAGCAGACAGCAGGGAUGAUGAUCACACUUCAUCACAGAGCCGAUCAUUUUGUGUACCGUCUGCAUUAUUACUCUAAUCCACCGAGGGAGUGAUGGAGGGCAGCUCAGCUCUGCUUCCAUUUAAAAAGAAUUAACCAAAAACCCUUCCCUCACACUGCUGUGAUUUAAGAUCCACCGCAGCCGGACUCCUAUCCAUUCCCACAUCCACACUGCAGCUUUGGGGAC